CGCGGCCCAGAGGCCCAGCAGCCCCGGGGCGGAUGGCGCGGGCCGCCUGGCUCCGCGGCGCGGCCCCGUGUGCCCUCCUGCUCCCGCUGCUGGUGCUGGCGCUCCCGCCGCCGCUGGCCCCGCAGCCGCCGGAUGCCCACCACCGCUACCCCACGAGGAGGGGGCCGCAGCCCUGGCAUAAAGCUCCUGCCAGCAGCCUGGCACCUGCCCCUGACACCCAGGAGGCCCCCCGGCCUGCUGGCAGCCCCAGACCUCCCCGCUGUGGUGUGCCUGACCCCCCAGAUGCGCUGAGUGCCCGCAACCGACAAAAGCGGUUCGUGCUGUCGGGCGGGCGCUGGGAGAAGACGGACCUCACCUACAGGAUCCUCCGGUUCCCAUGGCAGCUGGUACGGGAGCAGGUACGGCAGACGGUGGCAGAGGCCCUACAGGUGUGGAGUGAAGUGACACCACUCACCUUCACCGAGGUGCACGAGGGCCACGCUGACAUCAUGAUCGACUUCACAAGGUACUGGCAUGGGGACAACCUGCCAUUUGACGGGCCUGGAGGCAUCCUGGCCCAUGCAUUUUUCCCCAAGACCCACAGAGAAGGGGACGUCCACUUCGACUAUGAUGAAACCUGGACUGUUGGGGACAACCAGGGCACAGACCUCAUGCAGGUGGCAGCCCAUGAAUUUGGCCAUGUGCUCGGGCUGCAGCACACAACAGCUGCUAAGGCACUUAUGUCCCCUUUCUACAACUUCCGCUACCCACUGAGUCUAAGCCCAGAUGACCGCAGGGGCAUCCAGCACCUGUAUGGCCAACCCCGGCUGGUCCCCACCUCCAGUCCCCCAGCCCUGGGACCCCAGGCUGGGGUGGACACCAACGAGAUUGCACCAUUGGAGCCGGAAACCUUGCCAGAUGCCUGUGAGGUCUCCUUUGACGCGGUUUCCACCAUCCGGGGCGAGCUCUUCUUCUUCAAGGCAGGUUUUGUGUGGCGGCUGCGUGGGGGCCGGCUGCAGCCUGGCUACCCUGCACUGGCCUCUCGCCACUGGCAGGGGCUGCCCAGCCCUGUGGAUGCAGCCUUUGAGGAUGCCCAGGGCCACAUCUGGUUCUUCCAAGGUGCUCAGUACUGGGUGUAUGAUGGUGAGAAGCCAGUCCUGGGCCCUGCACCCCUCUCUGAGCUGGGCCUGAAGGGGUCCCCUAUCCAUGCUGCCUUGGUCUGGGGUACUGAGAAGAACAAGAUCUACUUCUUCCGAGGUGGAGACUACUGGCGUUUCUACCCCAGCACCCGCCGUGUGGACAGCCCUGUGCCCCGCCGGGCCACCGACUGGCGAGGGGUGCCCUCUGAGAUUGACGCCUCCUUCCAGGAUGCUGAUGGCUAUGCCUACUUCCUGCGCGGCCGCCUUUACUGGAAGUUCGACCCUGUGAAAGUGAAGGCCCUGGAGGGCUUCCCCCGUCUUGUGGGCCCAGACUUCUUUGGCUGUAUGGAACUUGCCAACACUUUCCGCUAACCACAACUUGGAUACCCUCAGGGCCCCGACCCCUGCCAGGCCACUGACAUUGGCUAGAGACCCGUAGCCAUCUUUGUGGCUGUGGGUAUCAGGCACUGGAUGGAGCCCAUGUCUCCUCAGGGAGGUGGAGAGGGGGGCUGCCACCUUGACAAACGCAGGAGGCCACGCGGGUCGUGGGCACCUGCGAGCAACUGUCUCAGACCAGGCAGGGAGGUUUUGACAUUACUUGAAUGAGAGGGAGGUCUUGGGCCACUCUGCCCGACCUCUGCAAGUCAGUCAAGCCCUGCUGCCCUGUCUGUAUCCCCGGAGCCCUCAUUCUACCCCUGCCCAGAGGCUCCUGCAGGUACUGGCACAGCGGUGCCAAGGGCCCCAUGGCCUUCUGCCUUUUUCUGAGAAGUCAGCUCUGGGUAGGCGCUGGGAACUGGCUGCCUUCCAGUUGGUGGUCCUGGAAGUGUGUUCCCUAGGAUCCACGCUAACAUGGCCAGAGUCAGCUGGGGAGGGGGGUACUUCCUGUUGGGGACCCUGGGCCCUGGAGACUCCAACAUACCUCAAUCCUGUCAUGGGCCGGAUCCUCCCAACCCUUAUCCUAGCACUGGGACCCUCCAAAGACAUGUAAAUAUGUGUACAGUGUGUAUAAAGCCUUUUUUUUUUGUACUGAGGAGUGUCAUUAAAACAUGGUUAUUUUCUACCUA